rnacentral:rRNA from 1 species
UACGUAGGGGGCAAGCGUUGUCCGGAUUUAUUGGGCGUAAAGAGCGUGUAGGCGGCCAGGUAGGUCUGCUGUGAAAACUUGAGGCUCAACCUCAAGCUGUCGGUGGAAACCCCUUGGCUAGAGUCCGGAAGAGGAGAGUGGAAUUCCUGGUGUAGCGGUGAAAUGCGCAGAUAUCAGGAAGAACACCAAUGGCGAAGGCAGCUCUCUGGGACGGUACUGACACUGAGACGCGAAAGCGUGGGGAGCGAACAGG